GACGAACGCUGGCGGCGUGCUUAACACAUGCAAGUCGAACGAAGAGCGAUGGAAGCUUGCUUCUAUCAAUCUUAGUGGCGAACGGGUGAGUAACGCGUAAUCAACCUGCCCUUCAGAGGGGGACAACAGUUGGAAACGACUGCUAAUACCGCAUACGAUCUGACCUCGGCAUCGAGGAUAGAUGAAAGGUGGCCUCUACAUGUAAGCUAUCACUGAAGGAGGGGAUUGCGUCUGAUUAGCUAGUUGGAGGGGUAACGGCCCGCCAAGGCGAUGAUCAGUAGCCGGUCUGAGAGGAUGAACGGCCACAUUGGGACUGAGACACGGCCCAGACUCCUACGGGAGGCAGCAGUGGGGAAUCUUCCGCAAUGGACGAAAGUCUGACGGAGCAACGCCGCGUGAGUGAUGACGGCCUUCGGGUUGUAAAGCUCUGUUAAUCGGGACGAAAGGCCUUUUUGCGAAUAGUGAGAAGGAUUGACGGUACCGGAAUAGAAAGCCACGGCUAACUACGUG
rnacentral:rRNA from 1 species